rnacentral:rRNA from 1 species
GGUGAACGCUGGCGGUAGGCCUAACACAUGCAAGUCGAACGGCAGCACAGUAAGAGCUUGCUCUUACGGGUGGCGAGUGGCGGACGGGUGAGGAAUACAUCGGAAUCUACUUUUUCGUGGGGGAUAAUGUAGGGAAACUUACGCUAAUACCGCAUACGACCUACGGGUGAAAGCAGGGGAUCUUCGGACCUUGCGCGAUUGAAUGAGCCGAUGUCGGAUUAGCUAGUUGGCGGGGUAAAGGCCCACCAAGGCGACGAUCCGUAGCUGGUCUGAGAGGAUGAUCAGCCACACUGGAACUGAGACACGGUCCAGACUCCUACGGGAGGCGGCAGUGGGGAAUAUUGGACAAUGGGCGCAAGCCUGAUCCAGCCAUACCGCGUGGGUGAAGAAGGCCUUCGGGUUGUAAAGCCCUUUUGUUGGGAAAGAAAAGCAGCAGGUUAAUACCCCGCUGUUCUGACGGUACCCAAAGAAUAAGCACCGGCUAACUUCGUG